CCUACGGGGGGCUGCAGUGGGGAAUAUUGGACAAUGGGGGCAACCCUGAUCCAGCCAUGCCGCGUGUGUGAAGAAGGCCCUCGGGUUGUAAAGCACUUUCAGUGAGGAAGAACGCCUGGAGGUUAAUACCCAUCAGGAAAGACAUCACUCACAGAAGAAGCACCGGCUAACUCCGUGCCAGCAGCCGCGGUAAUACGGAGGGUGCGAGCGUUAAUCGGAAUUACUGGGCGUAAAGCGCGCGUAGGUGGCUUGAUAAGCCGGUUGUGAAAGCCCCGGGCUCAACCUGGGAACGGCAUCCGGAACUGUCAAGCUAGAGUGCAGGAGAGGAAGGUAGAAUUCCCGGUGUAGCGGUGAAAUGCGUAGAGAUCGGGAGGAAUACCAGUGGCGAAGGCGGCCUUCUGGACUGACACUGACACUGAGGUGCGAAAGCGUGGGUAGCAAACAGGAUUAGAUACCCCGGUAGUC
rnacentral:rRNA from 1 species